CACCACUGCCGCCGCCGCCGCCGCCUAGCCGUGUUCAUCGCCGCUCGUCGCAACGAUCUCCGCGUUUAUCUCCGCUACCACUGCCAUCUCCACCACCAGCGCCGCCAUCGCAUGCUUAUCCUCCUCCUCCUCCUCCACUGCAGAAACCCCACACUCCACCGACACCAUCCUCCAAGCCUCCGCCCCCACCCAUCGAACCCAUUUUACCUCCACCAACGCCAAAACGUCACCCCAAGCAUCCGCCCCCGCCGUCGCCGCCGCCGCCAUCCCACAUGCCUCCUCCCCCACCCAUCCACCCCAUUUAUCCUCCACCAACACCAAACCGCCACCCCAAGUAUCCACCCCCGCCGUCGCCGCCAUCCCACAUUC
rnacentral:lncRNA from 1 species